GGGUUGUGAGGUUAAGCGACUAAGCGUACACGGUGGAUGCCCUGGCAGUCAGAGGCGAUGAAGGACGUGCUAAUCUGCGAAAAGCGUCGGUAAGGUGAUAUGAACCGUUAUAACCGGCGAUGUCCGAAUGGGGAAACCCAGUGUGAUUCGUCACACUAUCGUUAACUGAAUACAUAGGUUAACGAGGCGAACCGGGGGAACUGAAACAUCUAAGUACCCCGAGGAAAAGAAAUCAACCGAGAUUCCCCCAGUAGCGGCGAGCGAACGGGGAGCAGCCCAGAGUCUGAAUCAGCUUGUGUGUUAGUGGAACGGUCUGGAAAGUCCGACGGUACAGGGUGAUAGUCCCGUACACCAAAAUGCACAGGUUGUGAACUCGAAGAGUAGGGCGGGACACGUGGUAUCCUGUCUGAAUAUGGGGGGACCAUCCUCCAAGGCUAAAUACUCCUGACUGACCGAUAGUGAACCAGUACCGUGAGGGAAAGGCGAAAAGAACCCCGGCGAGGGGAGUGAAAAAGAACCUGAAACCGUGUACGUACAAGCAGUGGGAGCACCUUCGGGUGUGACUGCGUACCUUUUGUAUAAUGGGUCAGCGACUUAUAUUCUGUAGCAAGGUUAACCGUAUAGGGGAGCCGCAGGGAAACCGAGUCUUAACUGGGCGUUAAGUUGCAGGGUAUAGACCCGAAACCCGGUGAUCUAGCCAUGGGCAGGUUGAAGGUUGGGUAACACUAACUGGAGGACCGAACCGACUAAUGUUGAAAAAUUAGCGGAUGACUUGUGGCUGGGGGUGAAAGGCCAAUCAAACCGGGAGAUAGCUGGUUCUCCCCGAAAGCUAUUUAGGUAGCGCCUCGUGAAUUCAUCUUCGGGGGUAGAGCACUGUUUCGGCUAGGGGGUCAUCCCGACUUACCAACCCGAUGCAAACUACGAAUACCGAAGAAUGUUAUCACGGGAGACACACGGCGGGUGCUAACGUCCGUCGUGAAGAGGGAAACAACCCAGACCGCCAGCUAAGGUCCCAAAGUCAUGGUUAAGUGGGAAACGAUGUGGGAAGGCACAGACAGCCAGGAUGUUGGCUUAGAAGCAGCCAUCAUUUAAAGAAAGCGUAAUAGCUCACUGGUCGAGUCGGCCUGCGCGGAAGAUGUAACGGGGCUAAACCAUGCACCGAAGCUGCGGCAGCGACACGAUGUGUUGUUGGGUAGGGGAGCGUUCUGUAAGCCUGCGAAGGUGUGCUGUGAGGCAUGCUGGAGGUAUCAGAAGUGCGAAUGCUGACAUAAGUAACGAUAAAGCGGGUGAAAAGCCCGCUCGCCGGAAGACCAAGGGUUCCUGUCCAACGUUAAUCGGGGCAGGGUGAGUCGACCCCUAAGGCGAGGCCGAAAGGCGUAGUCGAUGGGAAACAGGUUAAUAUUCCUGUACUUGGUGUUACUGCGAAGGGGGGACGGAGAAGGCUAUGUUAGCCGGGCGACGGUUGUCCCGGUUUAAGCAUGUAGGCUGGUUGUCCAGGCAAAUCCGGAUAAUCAAGGCUGAGGUGUGAUGACGAGGCACUACGGUGCUGAAGUAACAAAUGCCCUGCUUCCAGGAAAAGCCUCUAAGCAUCAGGUAACAUCAAAUCGUACCCCAAACCGACACAGGUGGUCAGGUAGAGAAUACCAAGGCGCUUGAGAGAACUCGGGUGAAGGAACUAGGCAAAAUGGUGCCGUAACUUCGGGAGAAGGCACGCUGGUGUGUAGGUGAAGUCCCUGCGGAUGGAGCUGAGACCAGUCGAAGAUACCAGCUGGCUGCAACUGUUUAUUAAAAACACAGCACUGUGCAAACACGAAAGUGGACGUAUACGGUGUGACGCCUGCCCGGUGCCGGAAGGUUAAUUGAUGGGGUUAUCCGUAAGGAGAAGCUCUUGAUCGAAGCCCCGGUAAACGGCGGCCGUAACUAUAACGGUCCUAAGGUAGCGAAAUUCCUUGUCGGGUAAGUUCCGACCUGCACGAAUGGCGUAAUGAUGGCCAGGCUGUCUCCACCCGAGACUCAGUGAAAUUGAACUCGCUGUGAAGAUGCAGUGUACCCGCGGCAAGACGGAAAGACCCCGUGAACCUUUACUAUAGCUUGACACUGAACAUUGAGCCUUGAUGUGUAGGAUAGGUGGGAGGCUUUGAAGCGUGGACGCCAGUCUGCGUGGAGCCAACCUUGAAAUACCACCCUUUAAUGUUUGAUGUUCUAACGUUGGCCCCUGACCGGGGUUGCGGACAGUGUCUGGUGGGUAGUUUGACUGGGGCGGUCUCCUCCCAAAGCGUAACGGAGGAGCACGAAGGUUAGCUAAUCCUGGUCGGACAUCAGGAGGUUAGUGCAAUGGCAUAAGCUAGCUUGACUGCGAGCGUGACGGCGCGAGCAGGUGCGAAAGCAGGUCAUAGUGAUCCGGUGGUUCUGAAUGGAAGGGCCAUCGCUCAACGGAUAAAAGGUACUCCGGGGAUAACAGGCUGAUACCGCCCAAGAGUUCAUAUCGACGGCGGUGUUUGGCACCUCGAUGUCGGCUCAUCACAUCCUGGGGCUGAAGUAGGUCCCAAGGGUAUGGCUGUUCGCCAUUUAAAGUGGUACGCGAGCUGGGUUUAGAACGUCGUGAGACAGUUCGGUCCCUAUCUGCCGUGGGCGCUGGAGAAUUGAGGGGGGCUGCUCCUAGUACGAGAGGACCGGAGUGGACGCAUCACUGGUGUUCGGGUUGUCAUGCCAAUGGCACUGCCCGGUAGCUAAAUGCGGAAGAGAUAAGUGCUGAAAGCAUCUAAGCACGAAACUUGCCCCGAGAUGAGUUCUCCCUGAGACUUUAAGUCUCCUGAAGGAACGUU
rnacentral:rRNA from 1 species